CUGCACCAUCUAAUCCAUUCUGUGGCUGAGUGGUGCUCUGUCCUUUGAAACCUGAGGCAACACGAUUUACUCUAAGUUGAGACCGUUAAUGUAUCCAUUUCCUACUGCUGCCACCGCUGUUUGUAUCAGCUUAGCUGCACAAACGAUGAAUGACAACAGAGGCGCACCCAAACAGGAUUUCAGAGAAAGGCGGGAACCUACCUGUGUACUUGUGCUGGAGUCACUCUGCAAGCGCAAAUGGUUCUGACUGUCUGAGCCACAACUCUGUGAAGACUGGAAGAGGACAGUACAGCCACUUAGAGAAAUAAAGGGAAGAGAAACUGCACAAUGAAACAUUAAAACAUCAGCUUUUUUGCUGUAUUCUUGCUAUUUAAUGAUUACAUUUUUUAAAAAUCGAGUUGUCUGAAAUUGAUAUCAACUCCCUUCGUCCUUUGCAAAGCAUGAAUGUCUGCAUUUCUGAGUUUAUUUUGAAAGGGAUGAGGAGCAAAAAUAAAGACAAAUUCAAUGAGAUCUGAUCCUCUGCACCAUUUCAAACCUUGCUGUCCACCUAACAGCCCAACAAUACUCUCAGUGAACCGUGCCUGGUCUGUCAUCUAUCAUCGUGGUAUUUCACUGUCUCAGACUCCUGGCUACACAGCUGGACCAGCAUUUUAUGGAAUCUGAAUAAAAACUGAUGCUGUAAAUCAGGUACAAAAACAAAGUUGCUGAGGAACUCAGGAAAAUCUUACUGGGCUGUUGUAACUAACUGCAGACUAUCAGGGGUCACUCCAUCUAGACUGUCAAGAGAGGGAGAUUUUCAUUCCAGUCUGCUCUGAACGAAAUGGAAAAGGGGUAUAACUGCCCAUGUGUGGUCUAGCAUUUACUGCCAAUCAACACCACGUGGAGUUGGAGGGUCACAGCAGGUCAGGCAGCAUCAGCGGGGCAGGUAAGUCAAAGUUUCUGGUUUACCACCAUGUACCACUUGAUCCUCCUAGAUUUAGAAUCCAGUCUUUUUUCCAGCGUGGGUUCAAAUCCUGCCACCUCUAACUUACCGGCAGCUUGUUACCCUGUCUCUUUGUGUGACCAAGUUAGGUUUAACUCACAGUACAAAAUGUGAUCCGCUAGUUCUUGCUAUCUCCAAUUUACUGCCAGUCCCUAGUUGCCUUGGAGAAGGUGGGGGUAGGCUUCCUGAACUGCUAUAGUCCAUGGAGAGAGGGAGCUGUAGGAUUUUGAUGUGGCAACAGCAAAGGAACAGCAAUAUACUUUCAAGUCAGGAUGGUGAGUGGCUCAGAAUAGAAUGUGCAGGUGGUGGCGUUCCCUUGUAUCUGCUGCCCUUGAUUUUCUAAAUGGCCGAGCCUUGGUGAUUUGCUGCAGUGCAUUGGGUGGGUGACUGCUAAUGUGCGUUGAUGGUGGAGAGACUGAAUGCUGAAGGUAGUGGAUGUGGUGCCAACAAACCAAACUGACUGCUUUGUCCAAGACAGCAUCAGGCUUUCGAUUAUUUUUGGAGUAUUCCAUUGCUCACUAGAUUUGCACUAACUAAAUAGCAGACAGGCUUCAGGGAAUCAGGAGAUAACUUAGCCCUCUAGCUGACUUGGAUUUGAAGGCUCACACAGCUCAGGAAGGUCUAAAAUUUGAUGUGGAUCUGAGCUGGCUGUUGCACGUAUGAUUACAUUGUUAUGGGCACUUGGAUAAUAUGCAGGAAGACAACAACAGGUCAUUUUAUUCUAGUCAGGCAAUCAGGGCAGAUGAGAAAUCCAAAGAAGUUACAACAUAAGCACCUUUCACUUCAUGAUUAUUUCAUAGCCUUCAACGUUACUGUUUAAACCCAUAAACUGCACUGAUGUCUUUACGUGUGACUAUAAUCAGCGGGUACAGUCAAUGUUGGGAAAUGCACAAAGGUGAGGUAAACACUGUCUCGUACAAUAUCCUUUUUUUGAUCAUAUUCAGGUUGGGGAGCGGUGAGAGGCACAGGUUUGUGUUUUAGGAGAAUCGGCUUAGUCCAGGCCAAGUCACACGUAGGGUGUGUGUGUGUGCGUGUGUGCGUGCGUGCUGUGUGUGUGUGGUGUGUGAGAUGUGCGUGCUGCAUGUGCUGUGUGUGUGUGUGUGUGUGUGUGUUUGUGUGUGUGUGUGAGAUGUGCCUACAGCUUUUUUUUUUAUUAACAUCACUAUGGUGUCUCCAUACACCAAGAGCUGCAAUGGCUCAAGAAGGCAGCUCAAUGCCGCCUCCUUCAGGGUAAUUUGGGAAGGGCAGUUGAUACUGAUCCUGCUUGCGAUAACCAGAUCCUUGAACAAAUAAUUGACUGUUGGGCUCAGCAAGCCCAUGUCGGUGAUUCCUUCCAUGGGAACCCUAGUCCUAAUCUUCAGUGCUUUGCAAGUUCCUCUAUUUGUAACCCCAUUUCCUUCAAAGACUGACUUUAGCUUUUCUUAAAUACUGACAUAUUUCCUGCUCGAGUCAUUAUCUUUGGUUGUACAUUUCACAGCCUCUCAGUAAUAAGAUUUAUCCUGCUCGCUGUCCCAAAGCUUUUAUAUUUAAUCUAUGGUUUCUUGUUACAGACUCAUCAAUUAUUGGGGACGAUCUGCUCCUGUUUAUUCUGUUCCACCGCUUUAUCAUAUAAAAGUUUCCAUCAAAUUCUCUUUAAUCUCCACAAUUCCAAUGAAGGAAAUCUUUAACAGAAGACUAUUCUUCUUCAUGACAUGCAGCAUUAAGAUUCAUGCCAUGAUCGAAUCCACUCUUGUUCCUAUUUCUGGUGACCAUUGAGAUAGGAAGCUGACGCUCUAUUUUCUGUUACUGUGCUUGUGUUUAAUAUUGCGGUGGGGGGAAAUGGGGUGCGGAGAAAGCUUGCUGGGAUGAGCUAAUACCAUCCCAAUUUGGUAAUGGCAAAAAAUAGGAGCAGCAUCAGGUUCCAAAUGAUGAGUGGGGCGGAAUCCAGUCAGGAGGAAGGAAAUAAGAAUAGAAAAUGCAGGGAAGACUUGGAAUCCUACCACGUUAUGGUCACUUUCUCCCUAAGGAUCUCUCGAAGCAAGAUUAUUAAUUGCCUCUUACUCAUUGCACAAAACAAAAUUGAGGAUAGCCUGUUCUUUAGUUGGUUGCUCAACGAUUUUGUUUUAGCUACAUUAAAGAUGACACAUAAAUGCAACUUGCUGUUGUUGUUAGCACUGCUCUGGGUGGUCCUUUCUUCCUUUAUUCAAGCUCCAUGCACCUCUCACACUGAGCCUCACCUCGUUGCUGACUGUUGAGUCUCGGUGAAGCAUCCGUUGCAUCUGAGUGUCCAGGCUGACGGCGGACGAGCAUUUGGCCAACGCUGCUGCAUGUGACUCUCUCUCCCGCUGACGGACGAUCGCUUCGCAGGCCAUCCACUCGCCCAUGGUCUGCUCAUAGCCGGUUCGAAUCUUAUCGUCGACCUGAGGUUGAGGGGGAACAGGAACAGCCUUGAACAAAACCAGCAGAAAAUGAACAUAUUGUUCCUGGGACGUGACACUCCCCUUGCAUAGAAUGAACAUUUCAACUAAUCCAACAAAAACGAGUAUACAAGAUGUCAUCCCCAGUUCUGGCCAAAGGAGAUCAAAGCUCAUCAAACUAGACUUAGCACAAAUGACUCCACGGUUAUCAGUCAUUGAAGAGAAGACAUCAAAAUCCACCUCUAACUGAAUGUGCGAACUCCAACUCCAUUCACAUGACUGAAUCAUCUUUAAACUAGACAACUGUGGCUUCUGUUCAUCAGUCUGCUUGUAACACCUGAAGAGUAAGCCACUCCAAGCUACCUGAUUGCUCACCUCUGAUUUCAAUAUUACUCAUACGUCUGAUUCCUGUAAAAAAAACCAGCAUUGUGCCUGCAGUGAGCCAAUUCCCAGCUUAUACAUACUACUCAUCAGUUAUUUGACAGAGUCUGAGCUCAAAAUAAGGGAUUUCUGUGCACAGCCAACUGAAAGAACUUCAACUGGAGAAUGAGUAGCUAAACUCUCUAAUUCACACUGUGACAUCCUUGAUUUGUAGUGCUUUGUAAUUUACAACUUCUUUCCUGUCUUUCUUGUAAGUAUAUGUGUAUGAAUGUGUGUUGCGAACCAAGG